rnacentral:rRNA from 1 species
GUGGGGAAUUUUGGACAAUGGGCGCAAGCCUGAUCCAGCAAUGCCGCGUGCAGGAAGAAGGCCUUCGGGUUGUAAACUGCUUUUGUACGGAACGAAACGGUCCGGGUUAAUACCCUGGGCUAAUGACGGUACCGUAAGAAUAAGCACCGGCUAACUACGUGCCAGCAGCCGCGGUAAUACGUAGGGUGCAAGCGUUAAUCGGAAUUACUGGGCGUAAAGCGUGCGCAGGCGGUUUUGUAAGACAGGCGUGAAAUCCCCGGGCUCACACUGGGAAUUGCGCUUGUGACUGCAAGGCUGGAGUGCGGCAGAGGGGGAUGGAAUUCCGCGUGUAGCAGUGAAAUGCGUAGAUAUGCGGAGGAACACCGAUGGCGAAGGCAAUCCCCUGGGCCUGCACUGACGCUCAUGCACGAAAGCGUGGGGAGCAAACAGGAUUAGAUACCCGGGUAGUCC